UGGAAGUGUUUGCUGUGUGAACUGGUGACUCCACAGGCAUUUCUAAAAGUGGUAAUCUGGUGUCACAGGGCCCAGACACACAGUCUCUCCUCCUAAAAGAUGAAGCUGCCAAGAGUCUCUGGAGCAAAUGAGGAGGUCCACAGAGACCUGCAGGUCAAAAGGAAAGAAACUCCUUCCAGGAACUGGAGCCAUUGUCAGCACAGACACUUAGGAGGUCGUCUUUGUGACCACACGACUCUCCAUGGAGGCCACUCUUGGCUGCCCCCCAGCCUUUGUCUUCUAGGCCAGUGGCAGCUUUUAUGACUGGUGGGCUGCUCAGAGUUUCUGCAGAAAUAUUCUGUGGCCAGUUGCAAAGCACCAUGGAGAGCAGCUUCCCUGGCUUCUGUGUGGGAUUUGCCUUCACAAGAGAGGAGCAAGAAAGAGCUCAGUGGAUUGAUGAGAAGGCAUUUUUAACAGAUCACCUCUGCCUUUGUUAACAGUGGCAGACAUGUCCUGCUCAUCUUGUGCUUGGCAUCCAUGAACUCAAUCAAUCCUCACAGCUCCAUGAGGCAGAUUCCGCUGUCAUCCCAUUUUACAGAGAACACGACUGAAGUGAGUGGUGAUUGUGGAUUAAGGACAACUGUGAGACUUGACUAGUUGAAUUUGAAUAAAAGAACCCUUUUGUGGCUCCUGCUGAGAUCUCUGGGCCUAGAGGCUGAGCUACUUGAGCAAACUUUAUUCCUCAGGAGGACAUGGAGGAGCUGGUGAGAUGGCCCAGGACACGGGCACAUAGCUGCUGUUUUACGCCCAGGCCCACGGUUAGCAGGAAGAGGAUGUUUCUCUGAAGGAGGCCUCCAACAGCCAAGAUGGGAGGGUGUAGAUGGGGUGAGGGUUGCAGAAGGAGUGGGUGUAAUUUGUUGGGCAAAACCAACUUUGCACUAGAAGCAGGAAGAAACACUUACCGGUUUAUUAAUUAUAGGAUGCUUAGGACUGGAUUUGCCUUUGAAUGUGGGGGAAACAACCCAUGGCUUAAACAAACAGCUCCAAAAAACCCCCAAAAGACAAAAAAACAGCUCCAUCAUUCAACAAUAAUUAGCAGCAACAAUAGGCAUCUUCUUACAACUAGAUUGACAAGUGGCCCACAACACACAGCCCCAAGCCUGGCCCGGAACUGGGCCUCGAUGCCACACCUGUAGGACCAGCCAGCCCACAGUGUGAGCAGGGGCACAGAAGUGACAUGUUCUUUCUUAGGGUAUUUGUUGAGAACUUGCUCUGUACUGGGUUCUGAGAGGAGCACAAAGGAAAGUGAGAAAAACAUAAGAGAAAUGGGAUAUUACCCAGAAUCCAACGAACUGGGGAGACAAGGUUAAGCCUGAAAAGUUAACGGUAGCACAGAAAAAUACAUGUCACAAAUACAGUGGAUGCACAGAGCCAAAUGGACUUAUGGUGGAGAUUCCACACCAGAAGGUGAGAAGAGGGAUGGAGCCGCGGGGUCAGCAUUGCCAGUGAGAUUUCAGCCAGCACACACUGCAACACUUCUAGUAGAACAAGUAGGAGGUCUGGGGAUGAAGGCCAGUGGCAGAGCACUUGCCUAGCAUCCAUAAGGCCCUGGGUUUUAUCCCCAGCACCACACACACACACACACACACACACACAAAUAAGAAACACAAAGAAGAAAAUAAAAAAUCAUGUCAAAGGUGUGUAUUGUUACUAUUUAGGUUGUAUCCUUUAAGUUUUUUUCCUAUGCAUAGGUGUAUACAUAUUCAUGUGCACAUACAUUUUUUACAUAAAUGUGUUCGUAC
ensembl:lncRNA